GCUCAACCGAAGAAGUGCAUCGGAAACUGGGAAACUUGAGUGCAGAAGAGGACAGUGGAACUCCAUGUGUAGCGGUGAAAUGCGUAGAUAUAUGGAAGAACACCAGUGGCGAAGGCGGCUGUCUGGUCUGUAACUGACGCUGAGGCUCGAAAGUAUGGGUAGCAAACAGGAUUAGAUACCCUGGUAGUCCAUACCGUAAACGAUGAAUGCUAAGUGUUGGAGGGUUUCCGCCCUUCAGUGCUGCAGCUAACGCAUUAAGCAUUCCGCCUGGGGAGUACGGCCGCAAGGCUGAAACUCAAAGGAAUUGACGGGGGCCCGCACAAGCGGUGGAGCAUGUGGUUUAAUUCGAAGCUACGCGAAGAACCUUACCAGGUCUUGACAUACUAUGCAAAUCUAAGAGAUUAGACGUUCCCUUCGGGGACAUGGAUACAGGUGGUGCAUGGCUGUCGUCAGCUCGUGUCGUGAGAUGUUGGGUUAAGUCCCGCAACGAGCGCAACCCUUAUUAUCAGUUGCCAGCAUUAAGUUGGGCUCUCUGGUGAGACUGCCGGUGACAAACCGGAGGAAGGUGGGGAUGACGUCAAAUCAUCAUGCCCCUUAUGACCUGUGCUACACACGUGCUACAAUGGAUGGUACAACG
rnacentral:rRNA from 1 species